rnacentral:rRNA from 1 species
UAAUACGAAGGGGGCUAGCGUUGCUCGGAAUUACUGGGCGUAAAGGGCGCGUAGGCGGAUAUUUAAGUCGGGGGUGAAAGCCCAGGGCUCAACCCUGGAAUUGCCUUCGAUACUGGAUAUCUUGAGUUCGGGAGAGGUGAGUGGAAUGCCGAGUGUAGAGGUGAAAUUCGUAGAUAUUCGGCGGAACACCAGUGGCGAAGGCGACUCACUGGCCCGAUACUGACGCUGAGGCGCGAAAGCGUGGGGAGCAAACAGGAUUAGAUACCCUGGUAGUCCACGCUGUAAACGAUGAGUGCUAGUUGUCGGCAUGCAUGCAUGUCGGUGACGCAGCUAACGCAUUAAGCACUCCGCCUGGGGAGUACGGUCGCAAGAUUA